UUUUGGACAAUGGACGAAAGUCUGAUCCAGCAAUGCCGCGUGCAGGACGAAGGCCUUCGGGUUGUAAACUGCUUUUGUACGGAACGAAAAAGUCUUUUUUAAUAAAGAGGGCUUAUGACGGUACCGUAAGAAUAAGCACCGGCUGACUACGUGCCAGCAGCCGCGGUAAUACGUAGGGUGCGAGCGUUAAUCGGAAUUACUGGGCGUAAAGCGUCCGCAGGCGGUUCUAUAAGACAGAUGUGAAAUCCCUGGGCUCAACCUAGGAACUGCAUUUGUGACUGUAGAGCUAGAGUACGGCAGAGGGGGAUGGAAUUCCGCGUGUAGCAGUGAAAUGCGUAGAUAUGCGGAGGAACACCGAUGGCGAAGGCAAUCCCCUGGGCCUGUACUGACGCUCAUGACGAAA
rnacentral:rRNA from 1 species